UUCCAUAAAAUAUCUAUUGUGUGUCUUUUAUUUAGAUGAUGGUGGAUUAUGGGGUUGAUUUUUUAUAUUUGUAUCUAAUUGCUAAUGCUAUUUUGAGGGUUCUAUAGGAGAGCAUGUUGCUCUGGAUUUCAAAAAUUGAAUCAAUUUUUCAUUUCAAUCCAUUGUAUAGCUUAUAUCAUCAUGUAUUUUUUUAUUUUUUUUUGACAAAAGCUUAGAUCAUCAUGUAUGUUGUCCAAAUAUAUAAGUUCAUCCUAUGAUACGCAAGUUCUAAUUAACAACUUAUCUCAUAGAUCUAAUCACAUAAUUUUAUGAAUGUUUAUGUAUCAAGAGAAAAAUUGAGAAUGUUUAUUUGAUAGGUAUAUUGUUGGUGUUCUUUUUAUUUAAAAUGAUUGUAAUUAAUGACCGUUUCUAUAUUUUAUUGGAGUGCUUUUUUUCUUCGAUGUUUGUGAUGUUGAUUCCCAUUUGCAC
rnacentral:lncRNA from 1 species